GAUGAAGAACGCAGCGAAAUGCGAUAAGUAAUGUGAAUUGCAGAAUUCAGUGAAUCAUCGAAUCUUUGAACGCACAUUGCGCCCCCUGGUAUUCUGGGGGGCAUGCCUGUCCGAGCGUCAUUACAACCCUCAAGCUCAGCUUGGUGUUGGGCCCCGCCGCCCCGGCGGGCCCUAAAGUCAGUGGCGGUGCCGUCCGGCUCCGAGCGUAGUAAUUCUUCUCGCUCUGGAGGUCCGGUCGUGUGCUCGCCAGCAACCCCCAAUUUUUUUCAGGUUGACCUCGGAUCAGGUAGGGAUACCCGCUGAACUUAAGCAUAUCAAUAAGCGGAGGA
rnacentral:misc_RNA from 1 species